AGUGACGAUAGCCUAGGAGAUACACCUGUACCCAUGCCGAACACAGAAGUUAAGCCCUAGAACGCCGGAAGUAGUUGGGGGUUGCACCCUGUGAGAUAGGGAAGUCGCUUAGCU
rnacentral:rRNA from 1 species